GAUUCUUCAGGUUUUAGAUAUCCUCUUGCCGCAUACUUCUUCCCCCAAUUCUUUUUGUCUCGGGCCUCGUUCUUAUGAGAAACCCGUAGAUCUAAUUUCUUGCGAGGCCAAUCGAAUUCCAUUCAUGAGCCAAAACAUAGAUUUAGAUUCCUGGUCCGACAGCCUACGUGCCUGGCCAAAUCGUCUCGAGGGCUGGGUCACCUGGUAUAAUAGAGUAGCAAAGGUCUACCAGCCCACAUGGAAGACCAUAGGGAUAGUCGAUGCUCUGUCUUUGUCUUUAUCCCCUCUUGAGAAGAACGAGAACCUCCUGAAAACCAUCAGCUACUUUUGGUCCGAUGCCUUGAACUGCUUCCUAUUUGGUCAUGGACCGAUGAGUCCAACCCUCCUAGACGUAGUGAUGAUCACUGGUUUUGACAUCUCAUCAUCCUGCCCCCUCUGCCUACAAACUGUCUGAAGUCCCCUUCAAGUUGUCCUCCAAAAUAGAGUGCACAAACAGGGGUGCAUACCUGAUCCAGCACCUAAAAACCAAAGGCCAUGUGACUGAAAGGGAACACACAACCUUCCUGAAUCUUUGGUUGGAACACUUCUUAUUUUGUGGUCCUUCCCUUGCCCCAACCAAGAAUUAUCUUCCCCUGGCAUACGAACUGGCCAAAGGUAACACUGUUGGCCUUGGCAAGUUGUUCCUUAGGGAAGUCUGCAGACACCUCCACCUGAUGUCCUUGAGCCUACUUUCCCAGAAGAAACUUAGGACCGGUGGUCCCUAGUGGUUCAUCCAAUUGUGGGCUCACCUAUACUUUCUGGACUUCAUCCCAAACUUCCCUGUUAUGGCCGAUAACUCUUUUCCAGAUAAAAGUGGGAGGCAGAUCAGAUGUACCAGCUUCGGCUAGGCUUUGUAUAGCCUUCCUGGCAGUAAGUUGAAUCCCUCAAAUGCUUCAAACUGGUUUAGGAUUUUCUAUAAGGGCCUGAACAACCCUAUUUUCCUUCCCUAUACUGAUUCUAAAAUUUUUGAGAACCCAGUCACCUUUAGAUUGGCUGAUUUUGCCGAUGAUGACGGCACUCGGCAUCUAUAUUCUAUCGUGAUCCUCCCUUGCCUCCUUUCAGUCGGCAUGAGCGCCUCCAACCGGAUCAUCAAGCCAGGAUAUGAGUUCUAUCAGCCAGUCGUAGCAGCCUGGCAGUUUGGCCUCGGGCAAGUUCCUCCUCACUUCUUCCUUCAUCAUUUGACAACAAACAGAGCCGAUCUGCCCGACGUCAUCACCACCCAAAGAUGCUACAGCCUAUUUUCAGAUCUUCUCAUCCCAAUCCCUAUUGACCUGUCGUUCACCUCUUCGGCCAUCAACUUCGAGAACUGGUGGUCAUUGUGGAAGACUCAUGUCUUCUGAAAAGCCCUAGGGCUGAUAUUGCAGCAGAUUCACGCUGAGUAUGAAGUCCCUGAGGAAUAGGUAUUACUAUCAAUUUAAUGCUUUCCUCCUGACUUUGCUUGAUUCCUUCUCUAAUUCCAUUUGCUCUUUCUAUAGCAGGAAGAUGAUCUGGAGCCCAGGAAUGAUGACGGCUCCACCUUCCAGUUCUCACUGAUCGCCCCCAUGGUCCUUUUCGGUAGAAACGCGCCUCCCCCGUCAAAGGCCAUUAUGCGGAUCCAGUCUGGCUCUGCAAAAUUAACUCCCAAGCGGAAGCGGUCUUCUGAUAUUGCUGCACCCCGAGCCCAAACUAAGGCGAGGAAGAUGAUUGUUAGGAAAGUUCGGAGCGAAGCUGGGCGAUCUUCCACCACUCAAGAAGUUCCGAUCACUAGCCAGGUUUAGAUCGCUCCUCUUAUAAUUAAUCCUCUAAACAUGUAUAUUUUGACUUGAUUGCUCUUUCCUUUCUUGUAGGCCGAUGUCGUAGAUAUUUCUAGUGGGGAAGAGCCCGUACGCCAAGAAAAUCCAACUCUGGAGGCCCAGAGGAUCCUUUGAUGAUGGUCAACACCUUAGUCAACCUUCAGGAUCCCAUCCCGAAGACUACAGAGAACCCCACGAUGCCAGUUGAUGCUUCGUUCAGCCUUUAGGAUCUGCAGGAGCCGAUCGUUGCCGCGUCGGAUGUUGGUCACUCUAUGCAGGAGCCGAUUGUCACCUCGUCGGCUAUCAGUCCUCCUCCAGAAAGAGCGCGCCUGCAAGAGCCAAUCGUUGAUUCAUCGGCUGUCACUCCUCCUCAAGAAAGGGUGCGUCCUCAGGAGCCGAUCAUCACUUCAUCGGCUGUCAUUGCUCCUCCUCCAGAACAGGUAUAUUUUAUCAUCGAGUCGUUUGCAUCUUCUUUUCUCUAUGCCGCACUAAUCUUAUGUCUUCUUUAAGGGUCUGAACCUCUCAAACUUACUUUCAUUCGACUCUGCAUCAGUGGGCUUGGCCAUACUAGAAGUCAAUGAUCAUCAGCAAGAUUCGACCGGUGUUGCCAGCCAACUUCUCCGCGUGAAGGGCCUUUUGUCAGCUCCGAUUGACGGCUUGGUCCAGGAUUCCGACACAGAGAGGCAGAUUCUUGAGGAGAUCAAAUCUCAACUUCUGGAAGUCCUUCAGAUCAAGCUCUGGCCAACCAGGCACCUCCCUUUCUUUCAGGCAAGGGUAGAACAAGCUUGGCACAGAAUUGAAGCUCGUCGCUCUCAAGCCCCCUUGAAGGCUGACAUUGCCGAGAGGUGCCGAUUGCUUAACGAGAAGAAGGCGACUCUGGACGCCAAGGCUGAUACAUUUGUGCACUCUCGAAGGCUUCAACUUCUGGAGAAGGAAUUAGAGGACCUCAAGGCUAAGGUCCGGGCAACCGAGCAGCGCAUCCAGGAAGAGAAGAACCUUAUUGCCAGCUCCGAACGAGAAGCAGAAGAUUUGACCGCCCAAUUGAAGGUAGAACUCGCAGAGCUGAGCGCUUUGAGUAGGUAGGUGGUGUAGGGAGAGGACAAGGAUUAUGAAGCAGUGAUUGCUGAAGCUGAUCGCGUCCGUCUUGAGGCCAUCGCCGCUAUUGACGAGUUCCUUCAGUAGACUUCCUUGUAGUCACCCUUUGUAAGAUAAACCUGCAUGUAUCUGUAUUAAGAUUCUAAAAUCAAUGGUUGUACAUCGGCUUUUCGACCAACUCAAUGCGUUGGGAACAAAGUACUUCUUUUUUUAUAUAUAUGUGGGCCGACUGCACGUAUCGACCAUCUUUCCUUAUGCCUAGCCUGACGUGUAACAUUGGCUUUCACCUGUACGAGUCAUCAGGUCCUGUCGGCUCAUAUCCUACCGCGUAGCGUUGGCUUUCUCUUGUACAAGCCAACGGAUCGUAUCGGUUCAUAGCCUGAUGCGUAGCAUCGGCUUUAUUGCUCAUCAUCCCACAUACUUGGGAAGUACCUCUUGAGAUGUUGACCAUUGACCGCCACCAGAAACUUGACGCCAUCUAACUCCUCAAGCAUAUAUGCGUUUUCAGAUAGGACUUGGUCAACCCUAUAAGGCCCGUGCCAGAUUGGAGACUAUUUCCCAUAUGCUGCAUCUUUUGUCCCCAAUGGUAGCACCGCUUCCCAAAUUAGAUCUCCAACUUGGAAUUCUUUUAGCUUAAAUUUUUAAUUGUACGCGCGGGCUACUUUGGCCUUAUUUUCUUUGAUCUUCUCAAGUGACCAAAGUCUGAGCUUCGUGAGGUCCUCAACAUUAUCAUUCAUCAGAGUAGCAUACUCUUCAGCUGUUAAGUUAUUUUAGAACUCUAUGCGCCUCGAGCCGACCGUAAUUUCCCAUGGUAAUACAGCCUCCUAUCAAUACACUAGGUGAUAAGGAGAAGUUUUUGUUGCUCCAUGGCAUGAAAUACGGUAUGCCCACAAUGCCUCUGAUAAGACCUCAUACCAAUGCCUAGGAUAUUCAUCGAUCUUUCUCUUGAUCAACCUGAUAAGGCUCUGGUUGGACGCUUCAGCUUGUCCAGUUGCUUGGGCAUAAUAUGCCAACUCCUCUGAAAGGAAGACCGAACCUCCAUCUUUUGUAAUGGUCUGAGGAAUCCCAAACCUGUGAAUGACAUGCUCUUUAACAAAAUUAAUGACGUCCUUGAUGCUACCGACUUCAUGGGAACUGCCUCCACCCACUAGGUAAAGUAAUCUGUGAUGGCCAAAAUAAACUGGUGGCCUUUGCUAGAUGGAGGAUUAAUUUUGCCGAUCAUGUCCAUGCCCCAGCCUCUGAACGGCCACGGUUUGACGAUAGGGUUCAUUACUGACAUUGGUACCAUCUGAAUCUUCCCGAACCUCUGAUAUAUCUGACAUCCUUUAUAAUAUUUGAAGCAAUCUUCAAGCAUGGUGGGCUAGUAAUACCCCGAUCGCGUAAUUAGCCACUUCAUCUUAUGAGCCGAUUGGUGAGUCCCAUAGGUGCCUUCGUGGACUUCGUGUAAAAGCCGAUUGGAUUCAAUCGGCCCCAAGCAUUUGAGCAGCAAACCUUCUAAAUCUUAUAGAACAUAUCAUCUCCUAUCAGGACGUACCUCAUGGCCUUGUAACGUAUCCUCUUGGGUGCCCCCUGAGCCGAAUCCUUCAAGUAAUUGAAGAUAUCGGCUCUCCAAUCUCCUUGGUCCAACAGAUGUACCUGAAGAUCGGCUCUAUCCGCCACAACUUUGUAUCCCGAAGACAUCUGUGCCAAAUCAUUGGCCUCUGAAUUUUGUGUCCUAAGUAUCCAAUAGAAAUUUACGUACCUAAAUUGGGCCAUCAGCUCUUGACAUUGUACCCAUAACGGGAAGAGCGACUGGCUCUCACACAUGUAUUCCUCUAUGAGCUGGGAGAUCACCAAUUUUGAAUCUCUAAAAAUUUCCACUGCUUCAGCUCCGGCCUCAAGAAGCAACUCCAUACCCUUACGCGCUGCUUCAUAUUCCGCGAGAUUAUUGGUGCAAGCGGUAGGUAAUCUGAUUGAAAAAGAAUACGUUACCCCCCGAGGCAACACAAGCAGGAUACUUAUGCCACAUCCAUCUCCACAAGCUGAUCCGUCAAAGUACAUAGCCCAUGUGCAUACGGAAAGUGCUACUAUGUCAGUAUUGAUCCUUUUUACAAUGAGAUCCGCCAACGCUUGCCCUUUGACCAUCUUUGCGGGUUGGUAUCGGAUAUCGAACUACGACAAUGCAAACAUCCACUUUCCAAGUCAGCCUUUCAACACCGGAACCGAUAUUAUGUGCUUGAUGACAUCCGAUUUGCAGAUGACAAUUGUCUCGGCUGAUAGCAGGAUAUGACGAAGCUUUGUGCAUGUAAAGAAUAGACAAAGACAUAACUUUUCAAUAUCAGGGUACCUUGUCUCCGCAUCUAGCAUUCUUCUGCUAAGGUAGAACACAACCCUUUCUUUGUCGUCAUGCACUUGUAUUACUACUGAAGCGAUGGAGGUGUCACCUACUGAUAAGUACACGUAGAAUGGUCUAUCUUGUUGGGGUGGAACUAACAUGGGUCGUUUUGACAGAUACUCAUUGAUCUCUUCAAACGCUCGUUGCAAUGAGCUACUAGAGCUCCCUCUUUGUAGUAGUUGGCACCAUUGUUCUCACAGCUUCUUGACUCUUUAGACCGAUCUCGAUUCCUCUUUCAUGAACCAAGAAACCCAGAAAUUGACUGGCCAAUACGCCGAAAGCCCGAACCUUCUGGUUCAUUCCAGAACUUGCCGUAGGUCUCCCAAGUGCCCUUCAACCGACGCAGAUUUCAUCACGACGUCGUCAAUACAAAUCUCCACCAACUUGCCGAUUAGGUCGUGGAAAAUGUAGUUCAUGGCACGCUGAUAAGUAGCGCCAGCAUUCUUCAACCCGACAGUCAUAACCACAUAUUCAAACAGUCCUACUGCCCAGGCACUCUGAAUGUGGUCUUGUUUAUAUCCUCCGGAGCCAUGAAGAUCUGGUUAUAGCCGGCGUUGCCAUCCAUGAAACUCAAGAUCUUAUAACCAGCAACUACGUUGAUUAAUGUCUCCGCGACAGGCAUCGGGUAUUCAUCCUUUGGAGUAGCCCUGUUGAGGUCUCUGAAGUCCACACAAACUCUCCAUCGGCCAUCUUUCUUUUGCACAGGUACGGCACUUGAAAUCCACUCGGCAUACCUGUAGGGCCUGAUGAAUCCGGCUUCUAGCAUUUUUUCCACCUCUUUCUUGACUUCCACCAGAACUUCAGCCUUCAUUUGUCGCGCUCGCAGCUGAAAUGGCCGAAAUCCCUUCUUGAGAGGGAGCCGAUGCUCGACUAUGCUCCUGUCUAACCCAGGCAUCUCCGUAUAAUCCCAGGCGAAGCAAUCUGCGUACUCCUUUAGCAAAGCUAUCAUCGGCUCGUAGACACGGGCGUAACUUUUUGCUAACAAAUAUUGGUCGUGGCUUAUCCCCAGUACCAAUAUCCACUUCUUCGAGCUCGUCAGCCGAUGUAAACCCAUAUCCUAAUUUUCCGUCAUCUGUUAAGUCAACGCUGCAGAUGGAUAGAGAAGAUAAUAAAAAGAAUUCCGACCGAAUGUUGAGAUCGGCCGCUUUACAUCCUUUAUUGAUCUUUGAAAUUUUACAAUUGAAGUAUGGCCGGCUGCUAGAGCGGGCCUCCCUGUAACUGCUAUGAUCAUGUAAAACACUUGCCAUCAAAAGAUUACAUUUUAUAUUUUGGGGCCGAUUGCGGGGAUCGGCUUUGCCGAGUGCGUCAGAGCAGCUCGCCCUUUGUGAUUUGUCUACUCUGUGAGGCCAGUGGAUAAGACCAGCCUCAUCCCAUUUUUUGUAGCUUCAAUGCAGUCGCAACCUUCCAAACUGAUCCCUGAGAUCGGCUCUUGGUCUCUCGCAUCCCAGAUGCUCAUGGCGGUAUGUGAGAUCUCGAUCGAGUCAUCUGCAUGAACCAUCUCUACCUCAUCUCCAACCCACUGAAUUAGACAUUGAUGCAUUGUGGAAGGGAUGCAGCAAUUGGCAUGGAUCCAAUCCCUACCAAGUAGGACAUUGUAUGUACUCUUGCUGUUGAUGAUGAAGAAAGAGGUUGGGACCAUCUUGUUUCCAACGGUCAGAUCCACACUAAGGACGCCUUGUGCCUCUGAUGUUUGGCCGUUGAAAUCGCUCAGCAUGACGUUAGUCUUGAUCAGAUCUCCAGUGGACCGCCUCAACCAACGCAGCACUGAGUACGACAUUAUGUUAAGUGCCGCUCCUGUGUCGACCAACAUCUUGUUGACAGGCUAGCCGUUUAUGUAACACUUGAGACAUAAAGCCUUCAGAUGGUUGUAGUUCUUUGCUCGAGGCUUCUCAAAUAUAACUGGCCGCGGCCCCAAGUCAAGCUGGGCUACCGAUAACUCUUCACGGCCUCAAGCAUGGAACUCCGUGGGGAGUACAAACACCAUAUGUGCAUCAGCCGAUGUCUUCGUAUCGGCUCUUGUUGGUUUUGGACGCCACUCCUUCUUGGGAGGGCGCGACUCCCUUUUCUGGGUGUAAUGGACUUUAUCCGCCAAAUCCGGAUGCGUCUUCCUCAGUGUCUCAAGAUAUCUGGCUUCGGCCUCCUCCAGGCUGCGCAGCCGCUGUACCCUGCGUUUCUGGGAACGGUUAAGCCCAUCAGGGCACCAGCACGGCUGGUGAUAUUUAUCCUCCUCUUCUUCAAAGUCCACCCUUCUUUGUGGUGGCUGAAUCUGUUCUUGCUGGGACGGCACAGGUCCCAAACGUCAAAAAAUUGAGACCCCUUCUGCAUCACGCUUUCAGGAUCCGCACUCUGGGCAAUCCUUAGUAGUAGGCAAGCGGCUCAUGCCAGAGUCUCAGCAAUACUUGAAGAACGGGCAAUGCCAAUGAUCACGCGUGUCUUCUGGCUUCUUCAAACUUUUCCCAGUAUGGCGUUCAUGCUCUUCUUCCUCCGACUCACACUGGAGACGUUGCUGGUACUGGUACUCGUACUUUUUGAGGAGAUCGGAAGAAGCUGGCCGAUGAUUCUUGACAUGCCUUAUUUGUUCUUCCGUGAUAUAUCCCUUUUCCCCUUUUUGGGGCCAAUCGCAGGGAUCGGCCUCUUCAUUCCUGGUGCAGCGGCAUGGUGCAAGCCCUGCCAUGUUAAUACCGAGCGCGAAAUCUAAUUGUCACCUCGCAGACCGGUCACAACCUUCCACCAUAUUCACACUUGGGAAAGACUGGGUAUCGACCUUGAUGGCAGUUUGACCCAAAAUCAAUCGGCCUUGCUUGAUAGCCUAUUGGAUCUGCCGAUGGAGUUCUUUGCAGUCGCUAGUGCUGUGAGUGAAAGAGUGAUGCCAUUUGCAAUAUGAUCUCCCCUGCAGCUCCUGUGCUGUAAGAAGCUUGCAGCCUUCAGGUAGCUUCAACUGCUUCUCCUUCAAUAACAGAUCAAAUAUCUGUUCAAAACUUUACUCACAUCGAAGUUAAAACCUUUCGCAGGUCCCCGCUGUUUCACCCACUUACAGGACACGGGAUUUGCCCCCCUAGUCCAUUCUGCAACUGCUACUUCCUGGUCAUCCUCAGAAUCCUCAGCGUCUUCUAUGUCGAUCAAUGUCACUUGAUACUUGAACCUAUCCUAGUAUAGUUCUGGGUGGCGCUGCUCAUAUGUUGUCAACUUUUGCACCAAGUGCGCCAUAGAAUUGAACUCCAAUCGGAAAGCCAGAUCCUUGAUCGGCUUUAGUAGCCCCAAGGAUGCCUACUCGACCGCCUCCUUCUCUGAAAUACGGGUCGAGUAGCAUCGGUUCUUUACCUCUUUGAAGCGUUGGAUGUGUUCCGCCACGGUUUUCCCACACUUCUGCCGUACUUGUGCCUAGUCAGCAACUCCUGCCUCUGCAGCUUCCGAGUGAUAUUGAAUAUGAAAUUGCUCCUCCAGCUGCUUCCAGGUGUGGAUUGAAUCAGGGCCUAAUGAUGUGUACCAUCCAAAGGCCGGCCCUGUGAGAGACUGCGAGAAAAACCUUACUCGCAAGGGAUCCGACACCAAGAUCAUCCCUAAUUGCACCAAGAAUCAGCUCACGUGCUCGAUGGAGCUAGAUCCUUCCGCUCCACUGAACUUGGUGAACUUAGGAAGCCGAUACUUUGGCGGUAGGGGAAUUAAAUCAUACUCACUGGGAUACGGCUUAGUAUAGCCGAUCGCCCUACUCUUUGGUAGAAUGCCAAAUUGAUCUCUUAGGAUGGUACUAAUCUGGUCUACCGUCUGCGCUCCUGGGGCCGAGUGCAUACUGUCAUGACUCGGCCUGGUGGCAUAACUAGCUAGCCACGCUUGUUUGUCAGCAUCUGCCCUGAAAACUCUUCCAGCUGCCCUCUGCACCGAAUGUACCGGAUUAUAGCUAUCCGGUAUAUAAGCACAUAUAUACCCAUGCGGGAUCUCCUUGGGUGGCUCGCUGAAAAACUGGUGAUCCACAGGGUCACCUCCCACUUUGUAGACGAUGUAGGCCGGCGAGCCGUGUGACUCCGGAGCUGCGAGCACAUAAGGCAGCGGUGGCUUAUCCUAGAAUGGCAAUUCUCCCUUCUGACCCUUCCGACUCCCCAGGGUAGGUCCUGUUGGAGAGUAUUGAUGCUUCAUGAUCUUCUGGGCCACGCGCAGCAGGACACGCUUGAAUGCGUUCACCAGGCUCUCGGAAUGUCGAUGCAGUGAGUGGGCCACCAUGUAGUUUACUUCCUGGCGCAGAGCUCUGGUACAAUUUUCUGAAGGGGUGGACAGAUCCACAUCAUCAAGAGCGCCUUUAGGUGAAAACUCCUUCCACCUAACGCCGUGAUGGCAGGUCUUCUCGAAAGAGCCGAUGAGAUCGGCUUUGAAGAGAGCCUUGAUCUCAUCUAUUUUUGCUUGUGCUCAGCAGGCAGCUCCUCGUACGUGAUCGGAUCCUCCCUCGUCAUGCCGUCAGCAGAGCUCGAUGUAGUUGAUGAAGGUGGUCCCACUGGGUGUGCCAGAAUGUGUUGUCGGUCAAAACUCACCGACGAGCAGCGACAGGCAACACGAGAAGCCGGGAAGCUCCUGGGACUGCUGGUGGGCCCUGAUGCCUCGGUCAACGGCCCGAGAUCCGGCAAACGACCUGGCGUCUGGGUUGCUAGGCGUGCCACCUGACCUUGUACCUGAUCAGGAAGGUGUUAUAUAUUAGUUUCCUGCAUGCACAGACAUGUAUAAACAUUAAUCAGAGCCGUAAUCAGCUCAUCGGGUGAUUCCCGAUAUCGGCUGUAAAGAGCCGAUUGUAUCUCGUAUCAGAUCGGAUCUACAUAUUUGAAUAAAGUACGCAUGUCCGACGGUAAAUAUAAAACUUGCUCUAUAAUCUAUUAGUUAACCCAAUCUACGACGGUCAAAGCUUUCACUGCAUAACCGGAACAUCCUACACGUGAUUGAGCCUAACAGAUACGAAAGUGAACAGAAUAGCAACCUAAACAGCGGCUUAAAAACCAACAGAGAACCGAUUCCCGGAACGAUCCCUCUUUAAGUUGAUAUAAAGCACCAAAUGUACUGCCGGAACAUUCAACCCGUUUGAAGGGCCUAAUCAUGCAGAUAUUAAACUAAAUCUUCGAUGAACAAAGACUAACCAUAACAGAUUGGAUCUACUAAAACAAGAAUAGAGCAAGGUGCUGCCCUUAUACCCGAGAUCGGGCACGAGGAUAGCUGAAGUUUACAGGUAACAAACAAUGCACGAAUAAAGCAUGGAAGAUCCGAUGCUACUCUAUAAACGCCAAGAUAACUAGUGUUACUCGCCAUCAACAAUGCUUCAGUACGAGAAACACAAAGGUAGAUAAGCAGGAAUGAUGCCGCCCAGAUCACGCGAGGCGUGAUCGGGGCUGCACGGCACUUACCCAAGAAACCCUAGAACAGGGGUGGCGAUGCGCCGAGAGUUGUUGGUGAAUGAUUGAUUCUUCUUUAUUCAUAAUCCAAGGUACAUAUUUAUUGUCCGGAGACUUGCCUUCCCUAACCAAUCCUAACUGACCAUGACACGAAUCUUGGCUAUCUCUAUUUAAACUAUUUAAACAUAUAUACCUAUCUAGAUACAUGGCCAACCCUAGCCUCAAACACCCGCGCAAGGGCCGAUUCGCAAGCCCACUACGAUUAUCUUUUGAGCCCAUCUUAAUUCGCGGCCCACCUUUCUGGCCCGGCUAAAUUAUGGCGAUAACAAGGUCGAGUUAGUUGUUCGCCCCAUGCCGUUUUGUUUUCAUUUGAGACUGGAUGGCCGGACUGCUGUCCUCGGUGUCCGUGUCAUGCAAGCCUAACCGUCUGCGUCCCAUAAAAGGUGCAACCGGCUUAAGCCUUCUCUCCCUUCCUUCUCCUUGUGGUCCACUCUCGUGAUCGGCCAGUACCACUGGUCCAGCUUAUCCUGCUCGCCAGCCCGUGCCUCUCUCCUUUUUCGGUCGACCUAUUUUUGCUGUUUGGCCCAUGACCGAACUUACUUUAGCUCAUGACCGAACUCGCUUGGCCAGUCCUGCCAGACCCAAGCUACCAGGUUCCCUGAGUGAACCCUGGCCUCUGUCGUGCAACGAGGACUUGGUACCACCACCGCUAGAGUCCUUGGCGACCACGCCCAGGCAUGUUGCCGCAUCUAUAAAAGGGCGAGCACCCUCAGCCCUGUUCCCUUUCCCUGGUCCGUGCACUAGGCCUCCAUCGCGCCCUCUCCACCUCGCGCAACACGCCAUCGCCCACGCGCAAGGAUGCAGCGUUGCUGCUGGGCCAAGCGCUCGAGUCCCCGCAAGGUUUCUCGGUAGCGCCAAGAUCGAGAGCCGGCCCCGCGUGCCUGCUGCUGUGCCUCCCACUGCGGUGCACGCAUCUGCCCAGCUCGGCCUUGAGCGCCAGCUACCCCUGCACUGUGCGUCAGACCCAACUGCAUCGCCCCUACCCAGCGCCACCACCCUGGAUUGCUCGCCUGUUCCGAGCAGUGCACCGCCGCCUCCGUCUCCAGCGAACUCCAACGGCCAUGGUGCCUCCUCAACAUGGGUAAGUGGUAAAACAGAUUCCCCUCAUCAUCCUCUUUCUUUUCCCUUGCUACCCACUCUCUCUCGUACUCUAAAUCGACGGAAUUUUGGCCGGCAGCAAGGUUCUGUGCGCCAGCCAUGGAGAUGCCCGAUUUGCAGAUUGGCCCCUGACGAAUCCUGUAAUUUUCUAUCUUUUUCCUAUAUCUUACAAAAUCUGCAGAAAACCUCCUCGUAGAUUAGAUCUAUUCAGUCCAGCCCUACCCGCGUUCUUUUUCAGAUCUAACCCUAACUUUGCCCUUUUUGUGAGCACUGUUUCUGGUCUUGUAGAUCUUUAUUGCUAGCCCUCCAGAUCUAUAAUUAAUCGCGUAUAGAUCCCUGCAGCUUUAUUUUUAUAGCGUUCUCGUACUAUAGUUCCUGUUUUAAAUUAAAUAUAAAUUUAAUUUUAUUAAUAUCCUCUCAUCUAGUUUUUCUAAUUAAAAUCCAAUUAAAUCUUUACUCCAUUUUUUUAAUUAAUGUUAACUUGAUUAAUACCAACUUAAAUAAAUCUUCAAUUAUCAUUUGUUAGUUCAACAUGAAUCAUAAAGUUAUACGUUUAGAUGCUGUCACAAAUUUUCUUUGUAGUUAAUUGUUUAAUUAGGAUAAUUUAUACGUAGAUAAUUAUAAAUAAAAUUUGAUUAAGUUCUACAUUAUUUUUAGAAAUGUAAAUAAAAUAUGAGUUAAUAGUAAUCGUGGAUGUUUCUUUUAAAUAUCUUUCAUAUUUGUUUUCUAAUUAAAAUAAAUGAAGAUCAUAGUUCUUUUGUUUUCUUCUAUAACACAAAUCUUCCGAUAGCUGCUUCUUUUGAACCAUAGCUCCGUUUUCUGUGUUUCUUGUGCUCACGUGACUAUGCAACGAGCCCUAUCUUUUAGUACGCUCUUUUAAAGCUUUGCUUUUGUUUGGUGUACCUAUUCUUAGUUGUUCCUGUCAUGUUUGUUUGUUGCUUGUAUGCUUGGGCUUGAUGCUUGUGUGAUGUUAGAAGGAGCACAAUCCAAAAGCUUUUAAGAUUAAGUGUUUAAAAAUAAGAGUUGAAGAUGCUGAGCAGCUAUUCUUCGAAAGAAAGGCAAGUGUUCUUUGAUCAUACUUUUAUCUUAAUAAUCACAAUAAAUAUAACUUUUUUAUGCAUGCAUGUGCCUUAACAUGAUAGAUCCUAAUUAAGGACUAGUCUUUAUGAUCAUUUGUUGUCAAUAUGGGUUUUAUCUUCUUGUUGGGUAGCGCUAGUUUCUUAUGCUCUUGGAAUAUGGUUGGUUACCCCUAAACAAUGAUAUACCUGCUAUCCUUCAUGUUCAUGGAUAAUUUGUGUUGUUAAUCACAAGAUCAUAUGUUUAAUCGGAACAUGGAGAACCACCUAGGAAAAUAGUACAACCACAAUAGUACACCGCUCUGGUCUUGGCUAAUUAAUUAGAAACACUAGCUUAUGACAAUCUUACUGAAAGGGAAAGAGGGGUUGCAUCGUCAGGAUAUAGCUCGGUCCUCUUAAGGCUUUGAUAUGUGGCCUUGGUUAAGGCACUUUCUCAUUAGGGAGAGCUAUGACUGCUUUGACCUGAAAUCUUAUCUGAUCGUCAUAAGUUACUGAAUCUUUAAAAAAGCCUCAUAGUGAAUCUCUUGCCACUCACCUUGGAAGUGUUUAAGAGGCUAGCUACCUCCGGUAAAUCGGGAGACACGGAUUGUGGGUAAAAUGUACAACCUCUGCAGAGUGAAAACUGAUAUAUCAGCUGUGCUCACGGUUAAGAGCGACUUGGACCCUCACAUGAUUAAUGAACUUGAAAAUAAACUAAAUCGUGAACCAGGUUUAUGGUUACCAUUAUGCUUCUAUUGUAUCUCUUCUGUUUCUUUUAAUAUGGGUUGGUAUAAACUUAUACCUUAGUAAUUAGGUGCUAAUAAAAUUUAACCAAAUAAAAUUGCUUAUCGUAGUAAGCCAAUCAGCCUUUCCUUACUUUUAGGCUUCAUGCCAUAUAAUUCCCAACACUUACUGAGUAUCAACCAUAAGUAUACUCACGCUUGUUAUAAUUGAUGCUCAGAAGAGAAAGUUGAUGUGAAAUCUCUUGAAGAUGAUGUUGAGUUCUAGGUUUACGCAACUCCGGAUCGAUUGCUUGUGAUAUUUGAGUCUUCAUUUCCAGAAUAAGCCAUACUAUUACUGAUACUCUUACUUACUGAUUAUUCACUGAUAAAAUCACUAUAUAUAUAAAAUUUGAUCCUAGUAUUAAUAUAGUUAUACAUUCAAUUUUGUCCGUAAAACCGGAUGUGACCGAUUCUCCUCGUGGGUUAAGCGAGGUGGGGCCCAAAAUGUUAGCAGGGUGGCGCGGGGGUCAUCUUCUUUUGUUAAUAUGCGUUCUGUUCGGUUCAGGCACAUCAGCGGGCCGAUGGCACAUUUUUUUUGAAAGAAAGAGGGCCAAUGGCACCGACAAAAUGGAUAAAUAUGCUGCGAUACUUUUGAACUUAGUGACACGAUAACACAUCAAUCAAUUCCGUGGAAAUUCCCCGUAAUGCUACGGAGCAUGCCAAGACGAAACUGUUGACCUGCUGUUUCUCGCAACAGCAAUCAGAGCGGAUGAACAGUGAUUGCGAGGACACAGUAAUAAGUAAAACACACCGACGCCUAGUGACACAACCCUAGCUAGUGGUCUUGAGUUUAUCUCCGGAUUUCUUAUCCAUCUUCCCCAUAAUUUUAGAUUCAAACACCUUUUAUAUUUGAGAUUAUUCGUGCUAUAGUAGCUGAAUGGUUCGCAUGAGGUGAGCAAGCAAGGCUAGCUAGCCAGCUAUAUAUAAUUAUUCCCAUAUAUAAGUGCAACAAAACAGGAUAGAACAUUAAUAUAUUUUAUUUUUAAGGAAAAAUCAACAUAUUUUAAUUGAUAGGGAGACCACUAAGACAUUUCUAUUCUAUGGCUUCAAAAAAAUUUCAUUUUGAUUUCUUCUCUAAAUAGCAAUAACAUUUUUAUUUGUUACCAUUACAAAUUUUGUUGGAACAUUUUCUUUAUUCUAAAAUAUAUUUCUUGAAUUUCUUAUUCGAAUUAUGUGUCCUACCUGCCUUUCCGUUGAACCUAGAGGGCUGAUCUAUUUGUAACACAAAAUAGGCCACCUAUAUUUAGGAUUCCCCUGAUAACACUGGUUACCAAAUGAUACAAAGAGUAAAUUGCAUCAAACAUACAACAUCGUGUGUGAUCGUAUCACUUUGGUCUAAUAAGUUGUAAACCGUGCAAACAGGUACCUGAAGUUGUCACAUGUAUGUGUAUACAGUCACAUGUACACCAUAUAGUAUAUUUUACCCCGGUGGGAGAUCAUAUGGACUAUAACUCAUUAAUAAUAUGAUGUAAUGGGCUAAACAUGUCUUAUCAUAUCUCUAAAAAAUAAUUAUAUAUUUAUGAUCUAGCUAUAAUAGGCUAGACAUAACCUGAACAAAUAACAUGAGCAAAGAGCAACCGUUAAGGAUGAGCAAAGAUCAAUAGGAUAUGAGGUGUGUUGGCAGGAUCAUGUGAUGCAAUUCUUUAAAGGAGUAAACAUUUUGUACCAAAUGUAAACAUUUUGUACCAAUUGGAUAGGAUGUAAACAUUUUGUACCAAAUGUAAACAUUUUGUACCAAUUGGAUAGGAUGUAAACAUUUUGUACCAAAUGAAAAACAAUAUACAUCUAGUAUCUAUUCAAUUGAUCACUAUCAUCUAUAUAAGGAUACUAUAACCAGAACAGAACCGUAAUACUUCAAUCAAAAUAAUGAUAAUCUAGCUAGAAGUGAAACAACAUCCUAUCAGAUCCGAGACCAUGGGACUGCGCGCAUAGCAUAGAAUACUCUAGGAUAAGGGAUGGGGCAUGUCCCAUAUCUUAUGUCUGUUAUAUGCUACUCGGACAUGAGUAGGACUAUUCGGAAUAGAAGAAAACUAUCCCGAAUAGUACUUGGGUAAGACUCUGAAAGCGCAUUUGGCCCCCUAAGUGGGUUUUGAUUUUGAUGACAUACAAAAUUAAGGAGCUAAUGAGAUUAUCAAGCUUUGGACAGGUUAAAACUCACUGAAAUGAAAUAUAUGCGUAAGGAGAUGCCAAUUUUCUUGAUAGACGGUGAUGGAGCUCAAAAGAAGACCUCUAUUUAUUUUCUAUUUUAAAUUUGAGUAUAGGAAAUACCGUACUAUUGAGGGAUGUGAAAAAAUGAUUUGAAGAUGUCAAAGUGCUUAAUUGAGAUGCUAACUAUCCAAGAGAGAAAUAAAAUCACACACUUGUGCCUUAGUUUUCUCACCGACUCAUUGUGUGUCGGAAGUUCCGGCCAUAGGUUGGAAGUUCCGACCCCUGUCGGAAGUUGGUUAAUAGUUCCGAUAGGGGAUCCUCGGUUGGCUGUUUUUAAUGGGGUCGAAGUUCUAACCCUGUGUCGGAAGUUCCGGCAAUCACUUAACCACCACACUAACGCUAGUUUUUGGGGAUCGAGUAUUUAUACCCCUCAACCCCCCCCCCCCCACUUGCUACUGAUUUUUCACGAACACAGCACCUCCACAACCUCCAAAUCCUUCUCCCCAAUCCCUCCAAGAGCUAAUCCUUGAGUUGAUUUGAGAUAGAGCUUGGGUGAGAGCAAGAUUGAGGUAUGAGGCUUGAGCAUUUGAGUGAGAAGGCAGCCACGUUCAUCUCAAGAGCAUUGAAGCAUCUUCAUCCAUCGAUUCGCGUUUGUUAAUCUUGAAGCUUGCUUCAACAUGGUUCCGCGUCACCCGGUUGAGCGUCCUCUCGUGUGAGUGCACCCCAAGAAGUUUGUAUUAUCCAUCUUUUAUAGAUUUGAUAGUAAGUGACUCAAUUCUCCUUUGUGAUUGAUUGAGUGAGGUAAAGGGUUAGUGGAAAACCCAGCUCUUUGUGAGCUCCUCAAUGGAGACGUAGCUUCCUCAGUGGGAGUAAACUUCGGGAACAAAUCUCUUGUGUCUUGUGCUUAUUGCUUUAUUUAGUUCUAGUUGACCUACAGUUGUUUUGUGCCGAUCUACGUAUUCAAGUUGUUGUUCUUGCAAAGUUCACGUGCAGAAGUCUCCUAGCAUCACUACGCAACCUUUAGUUCAGCCAGGUUCUGUAAUUUCAAGUUUACUUUUGAAUUUCACAAAAAGAACUUCAUUUCAUCGGAAGUUCCGAUCAGGUGUCGGAUGUUCCAGUCUAUCGAAACUUCCUACACUGUGUCGGAAGUUCCGACAGAUUUAAUUGUUGAGAAGAAUUUUUUAGGUUUUUGUUAGAUACGCCUAUUCACCCUCCGCCCCUCUAGACUUCACCAAGAUCCUUUCAAUUUGUAUCAAAGUCUAAUCUCUUGAUUAAACCUUAACCGCUAAGGGAUAUCAAGAUGUCUAUAGUUGGGGAUGGUGCCGACGCCGCCACAACCGCCGCUGCUCAAGUCAAUGCCGAUAUCGGGUUCGAUGGUGUCGGGAAUCCCUUUGGGCAAACAAGCCAUCCACCCUCCAUCUACAAUCAAGACUCAAGCUCAAAGUGAUAAAAGUGAGGGCGAGACAUCGGAGGCAAGAAAAAGGAGAAAAGAAAAGAUAAAGGUCAAAAUUGAAAAGAAGGCCGAGAAGUUGAUGAGGAAGAGAUUGAUGGAAGAAAGCAAUAAGCAUCCUUUUUUUGAGUUACAAAAAGUACCUCAUAACUAUGCUCAAUCUCAACAUCCGACUUCUCAAUUUCAAUCGGUCCACUUGGAAAAACCUCUUUUCUUUGAUAAGAUGGAUUAUCCCAAGUGGUCUUAUGAUAUGAAAAUGCACCUCUACAAGCUUCAACCUCUAUUUGGGAAGUUGUUGUUGUAGGUGUGACUCCUUCAACAAAUGGUGUACCCACGGCCGAACAAGCUCAAGACUACUUCCGCAAUGCGCAAGCUGUGAGGGUCAUCACAAGCUCUCUUUGUGCCCAAGAAUUCAAUAAGAUCCGCAAUGUUGAAAUAGCUAAGCAAAUUUGGGACAUAUUGAGAGAAGCUCAUGAAGGAAUCGAUGAAGUUAGAGAGGGCAAGAUGGACUUGUUGUAAGCAGAAUUAGAGCACUUUGUCAAGCAUGAUGAAGAAACCGUGAGGCAAAUGUAUAAUAGACUAAUGAUCCUUGUAUCAGAUAUUAAAUCUCUUGGAAGCACGGAAUGGGAUGAUCACAAAGUGACAAAGAAGUUGCUUAGGGCUUUCACACCAAGGAACCCUACUCUUGCAACAAUAAUUAGAAGAGAUCCAAAAUUCAAGAUCAAAACACCAAAUCAACUUCAAGAAUUGGUUGAGAGGGAUGUGGCCAAGUCACUUAGUCACAAUAUGAACAAGAAUAUAGCACUGAAUGCAGCUCAAGUGACAAGGUUGCAUCAAGCCCAAAAGCUCGUAAGUCAAAAAAGGUAGACUCUAGUGAUGAGGGCUCCACCAAUGAAGAGAUGGCCUUGGUGUUGAGGAACUUGAAGAAGUUCAUGAAGAAGAAGUACUACAAGAAAGGUGGUGAUGACAAGAACAAGCCAUCACAAAGAAGAUGCUAUGAGUGCAAAGAAGUGGGCCACUACAUUGCCGAUUGCCCACAAUUGAAGAACAAAGAAAAGGAGGAGAAGAGGUACAAGGAGAAGAGCAAGAACUACAAGAAGAAAUAUCAAGAUCAUGCUCAUGUCAAGAGUGGGAGUCUAGUCAUGAAGACUCCGAUUAUGAAGGUAUAACAACUCUAGCCAUACCCAAGUCUUCAAGGAAAUUCUUCAACAACAUCUCCGAUGAUGAAGAUGACUCUCUGUUUUGUCUCAUGGCAAGAGGGACUAAGGUACAAGAAUCAUCCAUCUUCUCCUCCCAUCUUUCCACCACAUCUAGUAGUACAUAAAAUGAUUUUAAUGAUCAGGAAGAACAACAUAGAGCUUAUAUGAUAAAAGAAUUUGGAAAGAAAAGUUUUAAAGAAAUUAAAAAGUGUAUGGAGAAAUUAGAGAAAAAGAAAGAGUAUCUCAAUAGGCAAGAAGACUUGCUCAUCCUUAAAAAGGAGAGAAACCUUGCAUUAGAGAAGGCUCUUGCUGAAGAAAAGGUUAAGGUUGAAAAAUUAGCUAUUGACUUGUCCCUAGCUAAUGAUUCAAAUGAGAGGAUGUCAAAGAAAAACACUUUGAUAAAUGAAUCUCUAGCUUCCCUCAAGGCCACUCAUAGUAAACUUCAAGAAAGCUUUUCAUGCUUAACCGUCAAAUACAAUGACCUUGAAGUUAACUAUAAUAUCAUUUGGGAAAGCUCCAAAACCAAUUCUAAGGCAACUCUUGACUCUAAAGCCUCUACAAUUGAAGGUUGCUUAAAGUGUUAUAAAAUUGAUGUGCAAGCUUGUGUUACUAACUUGGCAAAGCUAGAGAAGUUGAUCAAAGCAAAGAAUGCUCAACUUGAGAGGUUGAAUAAGUUGGUAAGAAAUGGAUAUCAAGGUGACACCAAGCCCGAGCCUAAGGUUAUAUACAAGGAAGGGAGACGUUCCCACAAAAAGGAUGGGCUUGGUCAUUAUAAUAGAGUCAAGGCAAAUGACCGGAAGAUAAUCAAAGGAAUGUGUAAUGUUCACCAAAGGAGCAAAGCUUGAGGACUUGAUGAAGAUUACACAUGGUGUGACUAACACAACUCCUUCUCAAGUCAAGACGAAGGUUGAGGCUCCCAUCAAGACAAAUCUUGUGAAGCAUGAGACAUCACCAAGCUACACUACAGACUAUAUGGUUACAAUGGACCACAAUGGUAAAAUAGUGGUCAAGUAUGUUGGAGCUUACACUAAGAAGGCCAUCUUUAGAAGUGUGUGGGUUCCAAAAGUGUAUCCAUCUAACCCGCAAGGAUCCAAAUUAUUUUGGGUACCUAAAUUCAAAGCUUAACUAGUUUUGUAGGCCUACUUCUCGGGCAACAUUGUAUGGUUGCUUGAUAGUGAAUGCUCAAAUCAUCUGACCAGGGAGAAGGACUUGUUCACAUCCCUAAAGUUUCAUGACAUACCUAAAGAAAUUAUUAUCUUUGGAGACAAUAGCAAAGGAGAUAUGAUUGGUUUAGGUAAAGUUGCUCACUCAAAUGACAACUCUAUUUCAAAUGUUUAUUUUGUUGAAACUUUGGGGUACAAUUUGUUGUCGGUCUCGCAAUUUUGUGAGAAGGGAUACAAUUAUUUCUUUACUAAUGAGGGUGUGACCAUCUCUAGAAGGAAGGAUUCCUCUAUUGCUUUUGCGGGUUGCUUGAAGGGCAAAAUCUAUCUUGUUGAUUUCUCUAAGGAGAAAGUUGAGCCCGAGACUUGUUUAGUGGCAAAAUCUGACUUGGCAUCGCCGACUAGCCCAUGUUAGGAUGAGGAACUUAGCCAAACUUCAAAAGGACGAGCACAUCUUAGGACUAACCAAUGUUAUCUUUGAGAAAGAUAGGUUGUGCAGCGCAUGCCAAGCCAGGAAGCAAGUUGGUGCUCCACACCCUACCAAGAACAUCAUGACUAUAUUAAGACCAUUGAAGCUUCUAAACAUAGAUUUGUUUGGACCCAUUGUAUACAUAAGCAUUGGCGGUAACAAAUAUGGUCUUGUCAUUGUUGAUGAUUUUUCUCGAUUCACUUGGGUAUUCUUUUUGCAAGAUAAAAGUGAGGCUCAAGGAAUAACCAAGAAGUUCAUUAGAAGAGCUCAAAAUGAAUAUGAGUUGAAGAUCAAGAACAUAAGGAGUGAUAGUUUGGAAUUUCGGAACACCAAUGCUGAAGAAUUUCUUGAUGAAGAAGGAAUCAAGCAUGAGUUCUCCGCUCCAUACACACCUCAACAAAAUGGUAUUGUAGAGAGGAAAAAUAGGACAUUGAUCGAGUCCGCAAGAACAAUGCUUGAUGAGUACAAGACUCCAUAUAUCUUUUGGGCUGAAGCAAUCAAUACGGCUUGCCAUGCUAUCAACCGCCUCUACCUCCACAAACACUUGGGCAAGACACCCUAUGAGAUAAUCACCGGUAAUAAACCCAAGGUGCACUACUUUAGAGUUUUUAGGAGUAAGUGUUUCAUACUUAACAAGAAAACCAAAAGCUCAAAGUUUUCACCAAAGGUUGAUGAAGGCUUUCUACUUGGUUAUGGUACUAACGAACAUGCUUAUCGUGUCUUCAACAAAACCACCGGUUGUGUUGAGGUCACGGUGGAUGUAACUUUUGAUGAAUCCAACGGCUCUCAAGUAGAGCAAGUUGAUAAAAACCUUGUAGAUGAAGAGGAACCCUCAAGUCUAUCAAUCAUGAGGAUGGGUUUGGGAGAAGUAAGGCCUCGUGAAGUUCAAGCUCAAACUCCGGUUGAAGAAAUAAACAAUGAUCCAUCAUCAUCCACAAGAGUUGAACCACCAAGCUCUCAACAACCUCAAAAUCAAAGUCAAGUUAAAGGUGAUGAUCAAGUUCAUGGCAUUGAUCAACGGGGAGAACAAGGUGGGGAAGCUCAAGAAGAUGCUCCACAAGUUGAAAAUGAUGGACCCAUUCAACCUCAAUCACAAGUACCUCAUCCAAGAGUUCAUCAAAGCGUUCAACGGGAUCAUCCCGUUGACAAAAUCAUUGGAAGUAUUCAAAGAGGGAUAACUACUCGUUCAUAUUUAGCAACUCUUUGUGGACAUUACUCGUUUGUUUCCUUUUUAGAACCUCUCAAGGUAGAUGAAGCACUUGAUGAUCUGGAUUGGGUAAUUGUCAUGCAAGAAGGGUUGAACAACUUCACAAGAAAUGAGGUAUGGGAGUUGGUUAAAAGACCCAAGCAAAAUGUGAUUGGCACUAAUUGGGUUUUUGGAAACAAACAAGAUGAACAUGGUGUCAUCACAAGAAACAAGGCAAGGUUAGUUGCACAAGGUUUCACCCAAAUUUAAGGUUUGGAUUUUGGUGAAACCUAUGCACUUGUAGCUAGGUUUGAGUCAAUUCGCAUACUAUUAGCCUAUGCUACUCACCAUGAUUUCAAGCUUUAUCAAAUGGACAUGAAAAGUGCAUUCUUGAACGCCUCCCUAUCCGAGUUAGUGUAUGUAGAACAAUCGCCGAGCUUUGAAGAUCCAUGAUUUCCAAAUCAUGUGUACAAGCUCCAUAGGGCGCUCUAUGGGCUUAAGCAAGCUCCUAGAGCAUGGUAUGAAUGUCUUAAGGAUUUUCUUCUCAAGAACAAUUUUGUAAUGGGCAAAGCCAAUUCUACUCUCUUCAGUCACAAAGUGGAUAAGGAUAUUUUUAUUUGCCAAAUAUAUGUUGAUAGCAUUAUAUUUGGUUCUACUGAUAAAAACUUUUGUGAGGAGUUUAGUAGAAUCAUGAUCAAGAGGUUUGAGAUGUCCAUGAUGGGUGAAUUGAAGUUCUUCCUUUGGAUUUCAAGUCAAGCAAAUGAAGGAAGGGGCAUUCAUAUAUCAAACCAAGUUUGUGAAGGAUAUGCUCAAGAAAUUGUUGACAUGGCCGAUGCCAAGCCCAUCAAGAUAUCCAUGGCAUUAAAUGGUCAUCUUGAUCUUAAUGAAGAAGGGAAGUAAGUUGAUCAAAAGGUAUAUCGCUCCAUAAUCGGCUCUCUUCUUUAUCUUUAUGCAUCUAGGCCCGAUGUUAUGCUUAGUGUGUGCAUAUGUGCAAGAUUUCAAGCCAAUCCCAUGGAAUGUCACUUAAUAGCUAUUAAGAGAAUUUUGAGAUAUUUGGUAGACACUCCUAACCUUGGCUUGUGGUAUCCCAAAGGCUCCACUUUCGAUCUACUUGGCUAUACCAAUUCGGACUAUGCUGGUUGCAAGGUAGAUAGAAAGAGUAUCAUGGGGACUUGCCAAUUUUUUGGAAGGUCCCUAGUGUCUUGGAGCUUUAAGAAACAAAAUUCAGUUGCUCUGUCCACCGCUAAAGCUGAAUAUGUUACAGCGGGUGCUUGUUGUGCCCAACUCUUGUGGUUGAAGCAAACGUUGAGUGACUUGAUUUGUGAGUUUAGCAAGAUUCCGCUCUUGUAUGACAAUGAGAGCGCUAUCAAGCUAGCAAAUAUUCCGGUGCAACACUCCCAAAUAAAGCAUAUAGAUAUAAGAUAUCGUUUCUUAAGGGAUCAUGAGGCUAUGGGAGAUAUUGACUUACGUCAUGUGAGCACCGAACAUCAACUUACCGAUAUCAUCACUAAGCCUCUCGAUGAGCAAAGGUUUUGUGCUUUGAGAAAUAAUUAAAUAUCUUGGAUUCUCAUAACUUGGCUUGACUUGUUGCACAUACUUGAUUGUUGCCUAAAUAGGAAAAAUGAAUUUAUUUGUGUUGACUUUUUUUCAAAAUGUUUGGUUGUUGAUCUUUGGAUCAAAGUUAGAUUAUUGUGAUCAUUGUUAUGUAAUGUUGUUUGUGGCUGAUCACUAAGCGUCAAGUUGUCUCAUAUGUCUACAGCCAUAUCUCUUAAAAUCUCCAAAAUCAUUCAUCUCAAAAUCUAUCUUUUUGGAGAAGUUAAGCUACCAUCAGAACUUCCGAUACCCUUUGGAAGUUUGAGGAAAGUCCCGACAAAGGGCUCUCAGGAAGCAGAUUAAUAUUCAUCAAAACUUCCGACACUAGGUCGGACUUUCCGACGACCCUCGGAAGUUUCAGCAAUCUUCCGACUGAGGGCUCUCGGGAUCGAAUUAAAUUCCCGUCGGAACUUCUGAUUCCUGGUCGGAACUUCCAACAAUUCCUUUAGACCUAUAUAUACCUAUUGGAUACCCUUUCCAAAACCCUAACUCCUCCAUUCUAAACUGCCGGCAUCUCCACCUCUCUCCUCUCAAUCUUUUGAGGGGAGCUCAAGUUCUAUCGGUGGGAUUUCGUUGCCAUCAAGUUCUUUGGAUUCUCCACUCCUCGGAAGAUCCGAUCCACUCCAUUUUUCCUCUAAUUCACGCGGGAAGUCUUCAAGGUAAAUCAUUCAAAAGUCCCAUCACCCGAUCUCUCAAUGUAGAAGGACUUAGAUGAUUUCCUUUAAGGGAUGGCUUCCAUAUGCAUUCCAGAACUCAUGCCUAGAAUCUUGUAACUUUUGGUGGGAUCAAUCUUUUGAUUCAUGGAUUUCUAGGUCGGCUUGAGCCCUGUCAGGCUGUUCCCAGCAGAGCUCAGAAAAGGCUUCCGGUGCGGUAUUUGCUCACGCGACUGCACUGUAGCAUGUCCCAGCAGCAUGCGGAUGAAGGAACGGGAAAAGGAACGACCCCUCCGGCAACCCGUAAAUCCACACCCUCUCUCUCCAAACUCCGAUCACUUCCCACCUAUUCUCGGCUGACGCGUGGCGAUGGUUCAGGAGCAGAGGAAAGCGGGUGAGUGGAGGUGGGCCAGCAGGGUGGCAGAUGCGGUGCCGCAUCCGCAUGCUGCUGGAAGCAGCCACUGCCAAUCACGCGGGCCCCACAAACAGCCUGCCCCUGUUUCCCGAUGGGGAGGGGCGCACUGCUGGGAACAGCCUCAGAAGUUCCAACCCUGGGUCGGAAGUUCUGACACGUGCCAGAACCGCCCAGUUCAAGCUUCUGGUCCUAUCUAUCUAUGCCAUCCUAAUUUCCAUCUUAUAUCCUUCAGAUGGCUUGUGAAAAGAGAGGGAAACAGAGGGCAGCUUCACUAGAAAUUGAGUCACCGCAAUCAUCUGAUUCCAAGGCAACUGAAGAUUCACCGAUUGCUCACCGCACGGGCAAAAGAAAGGCCGUUGCUAAGGCUCCUUUUCGCUCUCGUGGACGAGGGAGGCCAAACGCUCAAGGCACAUCAGCUCAUGGCAAUCGCCCGCGCAUUAAGCAUGCCUCAGCUCCAGGCUCUCACAUGGCAGAUGCAGGAGAGUCUUUGGAAUAUCUUGAGAGGAUCAUUCUUCGGAUGCAGCCCGCAAUUAGAGCAGCGGGCAUGCACUACAAUGGGGUUCGUCCAGUCGACUACACUAAGGGCAAGCGUGAUAUUUAUGCUGAAUGGUGUGACAACCCCGCUGAGUACAUCCAAGAGCAACAAGGGGAUGUUCACUUUUGGAUAAACUUCCAUGCAGAUUGGUAUGAUUCAGUGAUUCUUAGCAAGUCACACCCUACUAUCGAGAUGAAGUCCAUCAAUUGGGAUUAUCUAUUGAACAUGAUAUGCCGGUAGUAGGAGAAGUAGUGAAUGCUUGCAACAUGAUGAAUCUCACCUCAAUCAUGUCCUUCAACCUUGCUUGGAAUGUGGAAAUUGUUGCUCAGUUUUACGCAACCCUCUAUGUCGACCGUGCCACCAAGACUUUUUAUUGGACCAUUCAAGGCAAGUCAUUCCAUGUUGAGUAUGCUUACUUUGCAAGCAUUCUUGGUUUUCCUGAAAAUGAUCUCACAAGGGAAAAAAUACAUGAAGUAGAAAAUGUGCUUGAUGAUGGAGAACUUCACUUCAUGUAUGACAGUGCUUAUGGUGACAUCAAGUUUGGGACUGUGCAUGGGUUGACUCCUUACUAUAAGCUGCUCAACCAACUCUUCCACUACACUCUGUGUCCCAAAAGGGGUGACUCCGACAACAUCUCCAACAUGUCCAAGAAUCUGCUUGCUAGGAUGGCUCCCAACAAGAAUGAGUUUAGUAUCUUUGACUUCAUUUGGGAGGAAAUCAUCAUCUGCUCUGUUUCACCAAAGAAAGGUUGUCACUAUGCACCAUACAUUUUUGCCAUGAUCAAAGAAGUGACAGGUGUAAAUAUCUUGACCGACAAGAGCCAUCAAGUAUACAAGCCUAAGAAAGAUCAACUUGAGUGACUUCUCAAGCUUGGAGCUCAUGCACCUCGCCACUCCGCUCAAGGACCAUCACAUGCCCCAUCUAGCUCUCAUGGUCCAUCUAGCUCCCAAGGUCCCUCAAGCUCCCAUGGUCCGCCUCCUAAUGCCCCAAAGAAAAAGGAAUUCUAAGUUUCAUCUCUCAAGGUUUGUUUGCAUACUUCAACGUGGGCCGUCACAACGCCCAAGAAAUUUAUGCUCAUUGGAAGUAUGUGGAUGAGGAACUCUUGAAGAUGGAGGAAAGGUAAAAGGUUCUUAUGGCAAAGAAUGACAUGCCUCACUCUUCGAUUCGUGCUCCAAUGGACUUCCCUCCCCUCCAACUUUCUACAACCCUUGGGAGGAGCUUGGCAGCUCAUCUAUGAUGUUUGGUGCUCCUCAAGUGGAUGAAGAUGAUAUUGAGGAGGAUUUGGGCGGCCUUGAGGAGACGGAUGAAGAGGAAGACGACGACGUGCCUGCAGCCAACACACCCACGGAUGAAGAAGAAGAUGAUGAUGACGAUGAUGAGGAUGAUGAGUGAUGGAUAUGGAAGGGCCUCUCCUUUUUUGAGCUUGAUGCCAAAGGGGGAGUAAGCUCACCAUAGGCCAUAUGUGGAUGUUGGGCUUUAUCUAUCUAUCUAGCAUCUAUUAGAUUUGAACCUUGAACUCUAAGUGCUUGUGGACAAAUGAGACUUGUAUUUGUGUUAUGUGUGGUGGUGUGCCAAGUGAGAUUUGAUUUAUAAAUUUGUAAGACUUAUUCAUGACUUGCUAUGCUCGUGUGAUCUUAGAACCUAUGGUUUAUCUGAUGAUCAUGACUUGGUGUUCGUUCAUUUCCACUUUCUUGUUGUGAUAUAAAUUGUCAUAUGCAUCAUAUUGAUAUUCAUCACACUUUGCACCCCACGAAUGCUUUGAUAUAGAGGAAACUCUUUUAAUAUGUGCAAAUGGCAUGUGAGGCCAUUUUUUAUUUCAUCAUGAAGAGUGCACAUAUUAAGGGGGAGUUCUACUAUAUGUCUUGGUCCAUUAUUUGUUUGUGAGCCUUAAUUGUGUUGUCAUCAAUCACCAAAAAGGGGGAGAUUAAAAGUGCAUUUGGCCCUCUAAGUGGGUUUUGGUGUUGAUGACAUACAAAAUUAAGGAGCUAAUGAGAUUGUCAAGCUUUGGACAGGUUAAAACUCAGUGAAAUGAAAUAUAUGCGUAAGAAGAUGCCAAUUUUCUUGAUAGACGGUGAUGGAGCUUAAAAGAAGAUCUUUAUUUAUUUCCUAUUUUGAAUUUGAGUAUAGGAAACACCGUACUAUUAAGAGGGAUGCGAAGAAAUGACUUGAAGAUGUCAAAGUACUUAAUUGAGAUGUUAACUACCCAAGAGAGACACAAAACCAUACACUUGUGCACUUAGUUUCCUCACUGAAUCAGUGUAUGUCGGAAGUUCCGACCAUGGGUCGGAAUUUCCGACACCUAUCGGAAGUUGGUUAAUAGUUCCGACAGGAGGUCCUCGGCCAGCAGUUUUUAAUGGGGUCAAAAGUUCUGACCCUAUGUCAGAUGUUCCGACAAUCACUUAACCAACACACUAACGGCUAGUUUUUGGGGCUCGGGUAUUUAUACCCUUCAGCCCCCCUCCUCACUUGCUGCUGAUUUUUCACGAACACAACACCUCCACAAGCUCCAAAUCUUUCUCCCCAAUCCCUCCAAGAGCUAAUUCUUGAGUAGAUUUGAGCUAGAGCUUGGGCGAGAGCAAGAUUGAGGUAUGACGCUUGAGCAUUUAAGUGAGAAGGCAGCCACAUUCAUCUCAUGAGCACUUGAAGCAUUUUCAUCCAUCGAUUCGCGUUUGUUACUCUUGAAGCUUGUUUCGAGAAGGUUCGGCAUCGCCCGGUUGAGCGUCCUCUCGUGUUUGUGCAUCCCGGGGAGUUUGUAUUACCUAUUCUUUAUGAAUUUGAUAGUAAGUGACUCAAUCCUUCUUUGUGGUUGAUUGAGUGAGGUAAAGGGUUAGUGGAAGACCCGGCUCUUUGUGAGCAAUCGAGACGUAGCUUCCUUAGUGGGAGUAAACUUCGGGAAUAAAUCUCUUUUGUCUUGUGCUUAUUGCUUUUAUUUAGUUCUAGUUGACCUACAGUUGUUUUGUGCUGAUCUAUGUACUCAAGUUGUUGUGCUUGCCAUGUUCACUUGCAGAAGUCUCCUAGCAUCACUAUGCAACCUUUGAUUCAGUCAGGUUCUGUAAUUUCGAGUUUACUUUUGAAUUUCGUGAAAAGAACUUCAUUUAGUCGGAAGUUCCGAUCAGGUGUGGGAAGUUCCGAUCAGGUGUCGGAAGUUCCGGUCCAUCAGUACUUCCUACACUAUGUCGGAAGUUCCAACAUAUUUAAUUGUUGCGAAGAAUUUUUUAGAUUUUUUACAGAUACGCCUAUUCAUCCCCCCUAGGCAUCACCAAUAUCCUUUCAGACUUCUAAGCUUGUAUCUAGCUAGGAUAUCUGUAACCAUAUCCCCCUCAGACUAUAUAAGGAAGGCAGGGACCCCUCCAACACACAAUCAUUUAAGGCAAUACAAACCACCGCACAAGACGUAGGAUAUUAUGCUUUUAGCAGCUUGAACCUGUCUAAAGUUUUGUGUUCCUUGCACCUUUGAGUUCCAGGUCUCGGCGACACCCCACCUACAACCUACCACCUCGGGGGUAUCCCUCGGUGGACUUGGCGGUAAAACACCGACAGCUGGCGCGCCAAGUAGAGGUGCUCGUCGAAGAUCCACCGGCGAGCUCAAUGGCAUCAUUCAACCUCACCGUCGCAUUGGAAGAAGGCGCGGCUUUCGUCCUUGGCUUCUAGAUCUGCAUCGCCAAUGGCUCUAGUGGCUUCAACAGCCACCUCGCUAAACCCUGGGGAUUCGGAGGCAUCAACGAUGAACUCGGCGACAAUCUCGGCAAAAUCCAAAUUUUCGAUCUAAUUGGAAAUCGCGAGAGCGAAUCCGGGUCCAACUCGUGACGGGUCCGAACUCGAGUCUCCGUUCGGACUUCACAUCACAGCCACUGUUUAUCGGGAGGCGCUACGGUCCGAGUUCCAAUCCGCAAUGGAAAAGAACUUGGAUGAUCUAUUUCAACUUAGACUCAGACCUCAACUCGCGCUACAACAUCGACAUGCUACUAAUACUUCAACUUUGAGAGGACGCUUGGUGACCCGCUGAUGACUACUUCGACUACUCGUCUCAACUAGAAAACUAGUCAGGAACAGGCCUCACACUGUCAAUAACUAGUCAGAAUUGACUCCGACUACUCGUACUUCAUCAACAAACCAUCGCAGCUCCAUCGGCGAGCGCUAUGGCUUCAUCGGCAAUCGCAUACUAAUCAAGCUAUGUCAUUUUUUAAUAAAUACUUAUCAAUAAAACACUCCCAAGUCUCCAUGACUAUAUCCUUUAUCUCUGCGACUACUUCCAACCAUGUCGACCAUGCUCCCGACUGUCUAGCUGGUCCGCCCACUACAGAGGCAGUCGGGCUGCCCCCUUUUGGGUGCGCUCCGCGCGCAAUCUUUACCAUGGCACACUACAAAGCCGUCCGGGAGGGUCAACGACCCUAACUUCCGAGUCCUUGCCUGACCCCAUGUUCCUCUAGAAACUCCUGAGUUAACUCAUGCGGUUCAAGUCCCAAAUCGCGAAACCUCGACUCAUCCUGUGUGCUACCUACAUGUAUGCCUCGGUCCGCCCAAGCAUUGUAGUCUUGGCAAGCCGUCCUCUCCGUGAGUACUGGUUAGCAGGGCUAGGUGCUUAGUGACUAAAGGUAAGGGCCACAUGAAGUCCUACUCAACAUUUUGCUAAAGGAAAGGGGAUUUACACACACAUGCACCUUGCAUCCGUCAAGUAUAUGAGUUCAACACAUUUACUACAUAAUGUUUUCCCAUGUCCUUUUACAAUUCAAGAUUCAGCGGUGACUCGGCCAACCCUCAGGCUCGACGGCUGGCGUCGCCGACCACUCAGCAUACCUUCGGUGGCUCGUUUAGCUCCCAUGCUCAGAGGCUGGGCGCAACAAGGCACUUAGUGUGCUUUCAGCGGCUCGUCCAGCUCCCCUGCUCGGGGUCUGGGCACAACAAGGCACUCAGCAUGCUUUGGGCGGCUCGUCUGGCUCCCAUGCUCAGGGGCUAUGCGCAAGAAGAGUUUAUCUUGGGAUAAGAUUUAUUUUGAACGGUAAUUUAGGAUUUCUUUAGGAAAGUUAUUUGUUUAACCAUUUUUCAGGGACGUCAUCCCGAAAAAAAGGUUUUCGAAUUUCUGAGCCAAUUUGUCUAUCUUAACCAUCACAUCAAACUCUUGAUUUAUUCUACAACCCAUGCCAUGACCUUUUGGAUCUUUUUUUCGAACCUUGGGAUUUGGAUUCAAGGUUCAGGGGCUGUGGGACACAUGUCAUCAAUGGCUUAUUUUUCAAAUUCAUUUGGAAGAUAAAGACCAGAAGAUUCAAGACUAAUUUGAUCAUCAGUCUGAUUCUUCGAUUCAAUCUAAGACUUGAGGGCUACUCCAUAUGAAGUGCGAUUUUCAUCGCACCCUAUAUAAAAGAAGACUUAAGAAUACUCGGGGCAUGAACACCUCACAGUAUCGAGGCAGCCAAGAAAAUACUCGAAAGACACUUUCAAGAUAGAGUUUGGAAGAAUUCGAAGACGCCUUCAGAAAUACUCAAAAACCUGCAGUACCCUAGCUACGAAGAGCUCGGAGGCUUGUCAGAUCCGGAGCUACAGAAUUGCGCGCAUAGCAUAGAAUACUCUAGGAUAAGAGAUGGGGCAUAUCCCGUACCUUAUGUCCAUUGCAUGCUAAUGGCAUAAUUAUUAUUUCAUGUGUAGCCAAUUACAAUCACACAAUAAACAUGAUAUUUCUUUUAAGAUAUAUUUGCAAUAUAUGUUACCUCAUUACAAUCACACAAUAAGCUAUAGUCCUUGAUCUUGCCAACAUGGCAUAAUAGGCUCAUAGUGUAUAUGUGAUCGUACGUACACACAAUUCACAAGUUCAUGUAUCCAUUUGCAUGUUUUGCAACUUAUUAGACUAAUAAGAUACGAUGGCUGCAAUUUUUUAAAUACACAGUACAACUCAUACACUCACAACGUAGCACGCUCAUCCCUAUGAACACAUAUACGCAAACUCUAUCCCUAUGAGCAUCUUUUAAGACUGAGCCGGUAAAUUCUCAAGAUUGAUGAAGUCAUCACAGGCGCCUCGCUGUCAAUAGGUACGUCGCCUGCCACUGAAAAGCUUGGUUUGAUCAAGCUGCUGAGUAUUGGAAACAAGCUAUAGCGCUUACUCCGGGAAAUUCUAUUGAAGCACAGAACUGGUUGAAGAUUAUGAAGCGCUUUGAAUUUGAAUAAGACCACUCUCCAUUUUCAUAAAAUAGGUGGUUUGGUUGUUGAUCCAUUAAUCAAAUAAUUUAUGUAAGAAGAUCAAAUGAAGAAUUUCAUUAUAUCCCUUUCUUCUACCUUCGAUUUUCUAUCAUAUUUCAUAAGGAUAAACAAUAGGGAUAGGCUCUGGAACAGAAGUAAUAAAGCACAUAAAAGGUGGCAAUCUAAAUAUUCCUACCUAAUAUAUCAGGACGGUCGUUUUAAUAAUUCUAAUGAGUUAUCUUGGAAUUUGGAAUCGCAUAAAAAAAUCUAUAUUAUGCUCACUCAAGCAAAGUAGAUGUAGAUAGGGGCUUAUACCCUCAAAAAAAUACACUAGCUUCUUAAAUGAAAAUGUAAAAAAAAAGAUUUUUUGUUACGUCGGGAAAUAAUUUUCCAGAAGAACCAAUGUCCGUUAGGCACCUAAUCCUUAUGUCAUAAUAGAUCCGAACACUUGCCUCGGAUUGACUUCAAUAUAUAAUUGCUCCAGUGAAUAACUAAAAAAAAUAGAAGGACGGUAGAUAGUAAAGAAAAGGACAAAUCAUAAUAUCUAUCUUUCAAAGAUUCAAUAAAAAGAUAGUUGGCGGGUCUCUUUGUAUGUCUUGUCCGGAAAGAGGAGGACUUAAUGAUUAUUCGUUCGCCGGAACCAGAAGUUCAAAUUGUUGUGGAUAGGGAUCCUGUAAAAACAUCUUUUGAGGAAUGGGCCAGACCCGGGCAUUUCUCAAGAACAAUAGCUAAGGGUCCCGAUACUACCACUUGGAUCUGGAACCUACAUGCUGAUGCUCACGAUUUCGAUAGUCAUACCGGUGAUUUGGAGGAGAUCUCCUGAAAAGUCUUUAGUGCUCACUUCGGUCAACUCUCCAUUAUCUUUCUUUGGUUGAGUGGCAUGUACUUCCACGGUGCCCGUUUUUCCAAUUAUGAAUCAUGGCUAAGCGAUCCUACUCACAUUGGACCCAGUGCUCAGGUAGUUUGGCCAAUAGUAGGGCAAGAAAUUUUGAAUGGUGAUGUAGGCGGGGGUUUCCGAGGAAUCCAAAUAACCUCUGGGUUUUUUCAGAUUUGGCGAGCAUCCGGAAUAACUAGUGAAUUACAACUCUAUUGUACCGCAAUCGGUGCAUUGAUUUUUGCAUCGUUAAUGCUUUUUGCUGGUUGGUUCCAUUAUCACAAAGCUGCUCCCAAAUUGGCCUGGUUCCAAGAUGUAGAAUCCAUGUUGAAUCACCACUUAGCAGGGUAAUUAGGACUUGGGUCUCUUUCUUGGGCGGGACACCAAAUCCAUGUAUCUUUACCGAUUAAACAAUUUCUCGACGCUGGGGUUGAUCCUAAAGAGAUACCACUUCCUCAUGAAUUUAUCUUGAAUCGUGACCUUUUGGCUCAACUUUAUCCUAGUUUUGCCGAAGGAGCAACCCCCUUUUUCACCUUGAAUUGAUCCAAAUAUGCAGAAUUUCUUAGUUUUCGCGGAGGACUAGAUCCAAUAACUGGUGGUCUAUGGUUGAGCGAUAUUGCACACCAUCAUUUAGCUAUUGCUAUUCUUUUCCUGAUCGCUGGUCAUAUGUAUAGGACCAACUGGGGUAUUGGCCAUGGACUUAAAAAUAUUUUGGAGGCUCAUAAGGGCCCAUUUACAGGACAAGGCCAUAAGGGUCUCUAUGAAAUCCUAACAACAUCAUGGCAUGCUCAAUUAUCUCUUAACCUAGCUAUGCUGGGCUCUACAACUAUUGUUGUAGCUCAUCAUAUGUACUCUAUGCCCCCUUAUCCAUACCUAGCUACUGACUAUGGUACACAACUUUUCUUGUUCACACACCACAUGUGGAUUGGUGGAUUUCUAAUAGUCGGUGCUGCUGCACAUGCAGCCAUUUUUAUGGUAAGAGACUAUGAUCCAACUACUCGAUACAACGAUCUAUUAGAUCGCGUCCUUAGACACCGCGAUGCAAUCAUAUCCCACCUUAACUGGGUAUGUAUAUUUCUAGGUUUUCACAGUUUUGGCUUGUACAUUCAUAAUGAUACCAUGAGUGCUUUAGGCCGUCCCCAAGAUAUGUUUUCGGAUACCGCCAUACAAUUACAACCCAUCUUUGCUCAAUGGAUACAAAAUAUCCAUGCUGGCGUGCUUGGCGUAACAGCUCCUGGUGCAACAACAAGUACCAGCUUAACGUGGGGGGCGGCGAGUUAGUAGCUGUAGGCGGCAAAGUCGCUUUGUUACCUAUUCCAUUAGGAACCGCAGAUUUUUGAGUCCAUCACAUUCACGCAUUUACCAUCCAUGUGACUAUAUUAAUACUUUUGAAAGGUGUUUUAUUUGCUCGCAGUUCCCGUCUGAUACCUGAUAAAGCAAAUCUUGGCUUUCGCUUCCCUUGCGACGGGCCUGGGCGAGGGGGAACAUGUCAAGUAUCCGCCUGGGAUCAUGUUUUCUUAGGUUUAUUCUGGAUGUAUAAUUCCAUUUCAGUAGUUAUUUUCCAUUUCAGUUGGAAAAUGCAGUCGGAUGUUUGGGGUACUAUAAGUGAUCAAGGGAUAGUAACUCAUAUCACAGGGGGAAACUUUGCAUAGAGUUCCAUUACGAUUAAUGGUUGGCUUCGAGAUUUCUUGUGGGCACAGGCAUCCCAAGUAAUUCAGUCUUAUGGUUCUUCAUUAUCUGCAUAUGGUCUUUUUUUCUUAAGCGCUCAUUUUGUCUGGGCUUUCAGUUUAAUGUUUUUAUUCCGCGGCCGUGGUUAUUGGCAAGAACUUAUUGAAUCUAUCGUUUGGGCUCAUAACAAAUGAAAAGUUGCUCCUGCUACUCAGCCUAGAGCCUUGAGCAUUAUACAAGGACGUGCUGUAGGAGUAACCUAUUACCUUCUGGGUGGAAUUGCCAUAACAUGGGCAUUCUUUUUAGCGAGAAUUAUUGCAGUAGGAUAGUGGCUAGGAGGAUUUGAAAGGCAUUAUGGAAUUAAGAUUUCCCAGGUUUAGCCAAGGCUUAGCUCAGGACCCCACUACUCGUCGUAUUUGGUUUAGUAUUGCUACCGCACAUGAUUUCGAAAGUCAUGAUGAUAUUACUGAGGAACGUCUUUAUCAGAACAUUUUUGCUUCUCACUUUGGGCAGUUAGCAAUAAUCUUUCUAUGGACGUCCGGAAAUCUGUUUCAUGUAGCUUGGCAAGGAAAUUUUGAAUCAUGGAUACACGAUCCUUUACACGUAAGACCUAUUGCUCAUGCCAUUUGGGAUCCUCAUUUUGGUCAACCCGCGGUGGAAGCCUUUACUCGAGGAGGUGCUGCCGGUCCAGUGAAUAUUGCUUAUUCUGGGGUUUAUCAGUGGUGGUAUACAAUUGGAUUGCGCACCAAUGAAGAUCUUUAUACUGGAGCUCUUUUUCUAUUAUUUCUUUCUACGCUAUCCUUAAUAGGGGGUUGGUUACAUCUACAACCCAAAUGGAAGCCAAGCCUUUCGUGGUUCAAAAACGCGGAAUCUCAUCUCAAUCAUCAUUUGUCAGGACUUUUCGGGGUAAGUUCUUUGGCUUGGACAGGACAUUUAGUUCAUGUUGCUAUUCCCGGAUCCUGGGGGGAGUACGUUCGAUGGAAUAAUUUCUUAGAUGUAUUACCCUAUCCCCAGGGGUUGGGUCCCCUUCUGACGGGUCAGUGGAAUCUUUAUGCCAAAAAUCCUGAUUCGAGUAAUCAUUUAUUUGGUACCACUCAAGGAGCGGGAACUGCCAUUCUGACCCUUCUUGGGGGAUUCCAUCCACAAACACAAAGUUUGUGGCUGACCGAUAUUGCUCAUCAUCAUUUAGCUAUUGCAUUUAUUUUUCUCAUUGCCGGUCAUAUGUAUCGAACUAACUUUGGAAUUGGGCACAGUAUCAAAGACCUUUUAGAAGCACAUACUCCUCCGGGGGGGUCGAUUAGGACGUGGGCAUAAAGGCCUUGAUGAUACAAUUAAUAAUUCGAUUCAUUUUCAAUUAGGUUUUGCUCUAGCUUCCUUAGGGAUUAUUACUUCUUUAGUAGCUCAACAUAUGUACUCUUUACCUGCUUAUGCAUUCAUAGCACAAGACUUUACUACUCAAGCUGCUUUAUAUACUCAUCACCAAUACAUUGCAGGGUUCAUCAUGACAGGGGCUUUUGCUCAUGGAGCUAUUUUUUUCAUUAGGGAUUACAAUCCGGAACAGAAUGAAGAUAAUGUAUUGGCAAGAAUGUUAGACCAUAAAGAAGCUAUCAUAUCUCAUUUAAGUUGGGCUAGCCUCUUCCUAGGAUUCCAUACCUUAGGCCUUUAUGUUCAUAACGACGUCAUGCUUGCUUUUGGUACUCCAGAAAAGCAAAUCUUGAUCGAACCUAUAUUUGCCCAAUGGAUACAAUCUGCACAUGGUAAGACGACAUAUGGGUUCGAUAUACUUUUAUCUUCAACGAAUGGCCCCACUUUCAAUGCAGGUCGAAGCAUAUGGUUGCCCGGAUGGUUGAAUGCUGUUAAUGAGAAUAGUAAUUCGCUUUUCUUAACAAUAGGACUUGGAGAUUUCUUGAUUCAUCAUGCUAUUGCUCUAGGUUUGCAUACAACUACAUUGAUUUUAGUAAAGGGUGCUUUAGAUGCACGCGGUUCCAAAUUAAUGCCGGUUAAAAAGGAUUUCGGAUAUAGUUUUCCUUGCGACGACCCAGGGCGCGGUGGUACUUGUGAUAUUUCCGCUUGGGACGCGUUUUAUUUGGCAGUUUUCUGGAUGUUAAAUACCAUCCCAUCAAAUAAGUGGAGGAUUCAUUAAAUUGUGAAACGUUGCCCUGCCAUAAUGUGAUGUGUUUCCAAUGCCAAUAAAAAGUCUUGAUUAUGGAUUGAAAAAGGAUGUUAUGAAUUGAAUGUGUAAAAGAAACAGUAUAUUGAUAAAGAGACUGUAUUCCAAAGUCAAAAGAGCGAUUGGCCUGCAAAAAUAAAAGAUUUGUUCUUGUUUGUUUUGUAAUUAGAACAAACAUAAACUAAUUGGAUAGAAAAGGAAAGUCGAUUUAUGGAUGGAAUCAAAUACGCAAAAAAAUUCAUUAUUGGCCCACCAUUGAUUACAAGAUUUAGCUUUUAUGAAUCGCUAGAAUUCAAAUGCGAAGAUGGUAUAAUAAUAUGCUAUGAUGACCAACUCCGGGCCCAAUAGAAGCAAGCCCUACGGCCAAUCCAGCAAGAAUUCGAGUUCUUAUUGUUCUUAUGUUAUGGUAUGAAUAUACCAUACCAAUUCGUGCCGAAUCGAUGACCUAUGUAUAAAAAAAAAGAAGUAAUAUACAGGAAUAAUUAAAAAUGAAUUCCCGGAGAGGGAACUCCGGGAAGAUACAAUAAAUUAAGAUUAAGUGAGUAAUGGCAGUCGUUUCAGUAUGUUAAGGAUAGAGCCUCAUGAGCUACCAAACUGCUCUACUCCGCUCUGUAGGGCCGAAAACAGACAUCAGCGGCAUAUUUUUAUGCGGGUCUUAGCAAAAAAGGAUUGAGUUACAACUCCUCGUAAAAAAUAAUCACAGAAAUAAAUAUUAUUAAAUUUAAGUAAGAAAACUACACUUUAAUAUGGAAACGUAAGAAUGGAAGAGAAAGAAAGAAUCCACAGUUUAUUAUCUUCAUUUUUUUCUUCGCCCCUAGGUAUUCUCUACCUACCCACCUGUGUCGGUUUCGGGUACAGGUACCCUUUUGUUGAAGGUCGUUCGAGCUUUUCCUGGGAGUAUGGCAUGGAACCCUCGAUAAAAGAAAGGGAUGCUAAACAGAUCCAUUUUGCAAGCUCGUUAUUACGGGUAGUUCCUACAAAGAAUCGGACUAAUGACGUAGCCCUUAUUUGUUGAGGGGAAACGAGUCCAAUUUGAAGUUGUUUAUGUUGCUGCCAGUAAAAUGCCCAUACGAAGUCGUCCAUGAAUGCGAAAUCAUAGAUCGAACUGACGAGUUGGCAAAAUUGGAUCCAACUUUCAGGCAUUAAGAUAUGUUUAAGCUCGAUAGAGAAUUUGAUAAGCCAAUGAUUUUUUUUCCGUCUUUCAUAAUACGGUUAACCACCAUGUUAACUAAUCGAUUACGAAAAAUUGGAUCGGAUUUUGCGGUUCUUUUUUCUGCAGUACCUCGACGUGACAUGAGCGUGAAAGAGGUUCAAGAAUCCGUUUUCUUUUUAUAAGGGCUAAAAACAAAUCACUUAUUUUUUUAGGGGCCACCGCGGCUCCUCUCUUCUCGAGAAUCCAUACAUCCCUUAUCAGUGUAUGGAGAGCUAUCUCUCGAGCACAGGUUGAGGUUCGUCCUCAAUGGGAAAAUGGAGCACCUAACAACGCAUCUUCACAGACCAAGAACUAUCCUUCCUAUGGCACAGCAAUCCAGUUUUGCUUGGUCCCGAAACAGAAUUCCUUUUUUCUCUUCUUUGUUCCCGCCCCAUAGUAAGACGGGUAGUUAUGAACCCUGUGGACCACCCCCAUGGGGGCGGUGAAGGGAAAGCCCCCAUUGGUAGAAAAGAAUGUAUUCUGUUUCUUUCAUAACGGAUUAUCCACUAUUCGAUUUUCUAUUUAUUAGAUAUUAUUUUAUGCUAAUCAAUUUAAUUCCUUAAAGGGAAAAGUUGGAUUCAAAUAAAACUUUUAACUAAAAAAAGGGAUAGAUUUUGCAUAUACUUAUCCUUGUAUUGCGUCAAUAUGAGAAUAUCCUUCCUAAAUUCUUUAUCUUAUUGAUCAUUAACUUAGGUUUUACCAAGAUCUUAGCCGCUAUUCCAAAUGAAAUUAUUCUACUAUUCCGAAGACA
rnacentral:lncRNA from 1 species